rnacentral:lncRNA from 1 species
GAAAUUUAACCUUUUUUAAUGAUUGCUGGAGAUGUCCAUAAACAAUAAGUCCUGUGGUUUUCUGCAUUUUUAGGUUUCCAACUCAGAUGUCUGUACUGACUUGAUGUCCUAAGACUGAAGAAGGCUGCAGCUUUGAAGUCUAAUGUCUGAUAUAUUUGAAAUAGUCUUAAUUUUGUGGGGGAAAGGGCUACUAUCAAGGUUAUUGAUGAAAAUACCAGCACUUACCUUUCUGGUAAGAAAUGUAGGUGCCUUACUGCUUCUUCUGUUUUGCAUGUGAAUGUAAUGUAAAAUUUGCAUGUAAGGAAGAAAACUUCGAAACGAUUCAUUUUAUUUUCCAGUCUGAGUCAGAGUGGAUUUGUGAUCUAGGGUUUUCUUUUUCUUUUCUGGUUUUAAAUAGUUAUAGGAAAGCUCAUCUCUUCAAAGUAAUGCUAGAUUAAGGGAGCUCCCUUAAAAAGUUAAAGAUCUUCUUUUAUUAAAAUAACUUAUUUUUGAUUAGACUAUUUUGACAUAUAUAUAUAUAUAUGUGUGUAUAUAUAUAUAUAUAUAUAUAUAUAUAUAUAUACAUAUAUUUAUUUAUUUUUUUUUUGGGGGGGCAAUUGGGGUUAAGUGACUUACCCAGGGUCACACAGCUAGUAAGUGUCAAAUGUUUGAUCUGAGGUCUGAGACUCAGGUCCUCCUGACUUCAGGGCCAGUACUCUAUCCACUGUGCCACCUAGCUUCCCCUUGAUGUAGUUUACUUGUGUAAUUUGAUAACAAAGUUAUCAUGAGUUUUAAUUUUCUUUUGGGAGUUUUAACAUUGCUGGCAAGUCUCUAAGUUUUAGUGUUAUUUAAAAAAAAA